rnacentral:rRNA from 1 species
CGUCAGGAUGAACGCUGGCGGCGUGCCUAACACAUGCAAGUCGAGCGAUUCUCUUCGGAGAAGAGCGGCGGACGGGUGAGUAACGCGUGGGUAACCUGCCUCAUACACAUGGAUAACAUACCGAAAGGUAUGCUAAUACAGGAUAAUGUAAGAGAUUCACAUGGAUUUCUUAUCAAAGCUCCGGCGGUAUGAGAUGGACCCGCGUCUGAUUAGCUAGUUGGUAAGGUAAUGGCUUACCAAGGCGACGAUCAGUAGCCGACCUGAGAGGGUGAUCGGCCACAUUGGAACUGAGACACGGUCCAGACUCCUACGGGAGGCAGCAGUGGGGAAUAUUGCACAAUGGGCGAAAGCCUGAUUGCAGCAACGCCGCGUGAGUGAUGAAGGCCUUCGGGUCGUAAAACUCUGUCCUCAAGGAAGAUAAUGACGGUACUUGAGGAGGAAGCCCCGGCUAACUACGUGCCAGCCGCCGC